ACUUUCAAAGGCUGCACGCUUGCUGUGCUUAUUCUCUCCCACCUUAGCACCAAGCAAGGUGCAAGGCUUCAGCACUUGCACUUAGUGAACAGUCUUUAGUUUAGAUCUGGUGGCAGAAGAACCAUCUGGUUAUGGCCAUGGAAGAGUACUUCUCUGCUGUCCAAAAAAUGGAACAAUUGGUCUUGUUCCCCAGUCUCCUGAGAGGUGUUUUUGUGGAACAGGAUGAGACAGCCACUGCUGAUUUUGGUGAAAAAGACUUGUAUGAGCACUACCUCCAGCUGAAAUCAAUCAAACUCGCUGUGGAGGGUGCCCAAGUCCCCAGAGAGAAAUGCAAACUCCCUGUCACCAACAAAGAGGAAAAAAAAGAGAACAGAGGGGAUGCCAAUCUCGAAGAGCUGUUUUACCAUCAUUUUACAGGCUUGUACCAUGUUCUGAUGACCCUGACCAGGAAAGCCAAUGCACUGACCAGAAAGUACAAUGAUAUUAUUGGAGAGAUCAACCAGAAUGAUACCAUGCUUACCUGGUGAAAUGCCCGCCAUUACCUUCAAAGGGGCAGCCCGCCACCCAGAGACUGUGUACCGCCAGCGCCUUACUGCAACUACUGCCGCUGAAGUUAUUUGAUGGACCACUGAGAUCCUGACCUUCUGCUAACCGUAUGCUGUGCUGCAAUAGCCAAAAUAAAUAGGGUUCUUCCACACUG